rnacentral:rRNA from 1 species
CCUACGGGAGGCAGCAGUGAGGAAUAUUGGUCAAUGGACGAGAGUCUGAACCAGCCAAGUAGCGUGAAGGAUGACUGCCCUAUGGGUUGUAAACUUCUUUUAUAAAGGAAUAAAACGAGGCACGUGUGCCUUUUUGCAUGUACUUUAUGAAUAAGGAUCGGCUAACUCCGUGCCAGCAGCCGCGGUAAUACGGAGGAUCCGAGCGUUAUCCGGAUUUAUUGGGUUUAAAGGGAGCGUAGAUGGGUUGUUAAGUCAGUUGUGAAAGGUUGCGGCUCAACCGUAAAAUUGCAAUUGAUACUGGCAGUCUUGAGUACAGUUGAGGUAGGCGGAAUGCGUGGUGUAGCGGUGAAAUGCUUAGAUAUCACGAAGAACCCCGAUUGCGAAGGCAGCUUACUAAACUGUGACUGACAUUGAUGCUCGAAAGUGUGGGUAUCAAACAGGAUUAGAUACCCUAGUAGUC